ensembl:lncRNA LINC00907 long intergenic non-protein coding RNA 907
ACUUCUCUCUUCUGCCUCCUAGUGAAAAAGGUGCCUGCUUCUCCUUCUGCCAUGAUUAUAAGUUUCCUGAGGCUUCCCCAGCCAUGCGUAACUGAGUGAGGACCUAGAAUUUUAAUGUCUAAUAUGCGGUGUGAAUUAAAGAAGCGGCCUUGCUAUGCUGACCUUUUCAAUAUUCUAAUCUUUGCUUUGCUGACCUCUCAGGCCUCUUCCUGGCAACAGUUAGGCUUUUGAGAGGAGAGAGAGCUGAGACUGUUGGCUCCUUCCCAUUUAUGAGAGAGCCACAUGACAUCAGCCCAUAGACUGUGGAGAGUAUUCCAGAUCUAUCACAUUCUGCGAUUCUGCGAUUCCCAGAAGGCUGGUCAUGAAAAAAUUCCCUCUUCAGUUUACAUAUAUGGCAGUGAUGCACAUUGUUCUUUUGGUUGUGAAAAAUUCGAAGAAGUAGAUGUGGUCCUGGUUGAUGGAUGAACAUUGAGGCCCUCAAGUGCAUAAAGGUAAGGAAAAGAUGAUAAAAGAAGCUAUGUACUUGAUAGAAUAAGGGUUGGAGAGGGUCGGAGGAGAGAGAGAAUGCUUCUGAGAAGCAAUUAUGGGCUUAAAGCAGAAGCCUAGAGAAUAAAUAGCAUUUCAGUCAACAGAGGGCAGAGAAGUGCAGCUUCACACAGGAGGGGCACUGCGUGUCAUCGGGGGCAGUAAUGUGAUGUGUGUUUGGGAUAUCAGUUUAGUGAUGUUUAGGGAGAGAUGUAAAUUUGAAUCAAUCUGGAAUUUGUAUUGUAAAGAGUAGGUAUGUGAUAUUCAAUUUUUCUAUACAUAAGCAUAUCAGGAGAGAUAUUUUCUUUGUUUUUGAAAUUGUACUUGAGCUCAUUCCUUAAUCCAGGAGAGAUGAGUAAAAAUCUUCCUCUGGUUUUCAUUUAUUCAUCAAGAACUAUUGAUUGAGUGCCCAUGUUUAUCAAAUACUGUUCCUGGCUCUGUUUACUUAAGAUUGUGCAUCAGACUUAAGUAUGAAUAAUAUGUGAGAUUAUGGAUUAAAUCUGCAAACCUG